UACGUAGGGGGGCAAGCGUUUGUCCGGAUUUAUUGGGCGUAAAGAGCGUGUAGGCGGCCAGGUAGGUCCGUUGUGAAAACUAGAGGCUUAACCUCUAGACGUCGAUGGAAACCAUCUGGCUAGAGUCCGGAAGAGGAGAGUGGAAUUCCUGGUGUAGCGGUGAAAUGCGCAGAUAUCAGGAAGAACACCCGUGGCGAAGGCGGGUCUCUGGGACGGUACUGACGCUGAGGCGCGACAGCGUGGGGAGCGAACUGG
rnacentral:rRNA from 1 species